ACGGUCUUGGUGCACUCAACCGUAUGAGUCACCGACACGCAUAUGAAUGCAAUAUGAAUGGUUAAAGUGUUUGAUAAAUCAUCAAGUAAACAUGGAACACUUGAUGAUUUAUCUCAAAUAUGUGCACAACAGCUUUUGCUUAAGAAUUCUAUAUGCUCAACCCAAUAUCAGAAACUGUCAAAAACCAAAGAGAUGCAAGCUGCUUUUAUUCAAAGCUUCCUAUACCCAGUCAGAUGGCCGCACACGAGUACCA
rnacentral:lncRNA from 1 species